rnacentral:rRNA from 1 species
GGUUAAGUCCCGCAACGAGCGCAACCCUUGAUUUUAGUUGCCAGCAUUUAGUUGGGCACUCUAAAGUGACUGCCGGUGCAAGCCGGAGGAAGGUGGGGAUGACGUCAAAUCAUCAUGCCCCUUAUGACCUGGGCUACACACGUGCUACAAUGGAUAGUACAAAGGGUCGCGAAGCCGCGAGGUGGAGCUAAUCCCAUAAAACUAUUCUCAGUUCGGAUUGUAGGCUGCAACUCGCCUACAUGAAGCCGGAAUCGCUAGUAAUCGUGGAUCAGCAUGCCACGGUGAAUACGUUCCCGGGCCUUGUACACACCGCCCGUCACACCACGAGAGUUUGUAACACCCGAAGUCGGUAGGGUAACCUUUAUGGAGCCAGCCGCCGAAGGUGGGACAGAUAAUUGGGGUGAAGUCGUAACAAGGUAGCCGUAUCGGAAGGUGCGGCUGGAUCACCUCCUUUCUAAGGAA